rnacentral:rRNA from 1 species
AACGAACGCUGGCGGCAGGCUUAACAUAUGCAAGUCGAGCGCCCCGCAAGGGGAGCGGCAGACGGGUGAGUAACGCGUGGGAAUCUACCCAUCUCUACGGAAUAACGCAUGGAAACGUGUGCUAAUACCGUAUACGUUCUUCGGGAGAAAGAUUUAUCGGAGAUGGAUGAGCCCGCGUUGGAUUAGCUAGUUGGUGGGGUAAAGGCCUACCAAGGCGACGAUCCAUAGCUGGUCUGAGAGGAUGAUCAGCCACACUGGGACUGAGACACGGCCCAGACUCCUACGGGAGGCAGCAGUGGGGAAUAUUGGACAAUGGGCGCAAGCCUGAUCCAGCCAUGCCGCGUGAGUGAUGAAGGCCCUAGGGUUGUAAAGCUCUUUCACCGGUGAAGAUAAUGACGGUAACCGGAGAAGAAGCCCCGGCUAACUUCGUGCCAGCCGCCGCGGUAAAAC